CUCUGUGACUCCUACGGGAGGCAGCAGUGGGGAAUAUUGCACAAUGGGGGAAACCCUGAUGCAGCCAUGCCGCGUGUGUGAAGAAGGCCUUCGGGUUGUAAAGCACUUUCAGUAGGGAGGAAGGUAGUGUAGUUAACACCUGCACUAUUUGACGUUACCUACAGAAGAAGCACCGGCUAACUCCGUGCCAGCAGCCGCGGUAAUACGGAGGGUGCGAGCGUUAAUCGGAAUUACUGGGCGUAAAGCGCAUGCAGGCGGCCUGUUAAGUCAGAUGUGAAAGCCCCGGGGCUUAACCUCGGAAUUGCAUUUGAAACUGGCAGGCUAGAGUCUUGUAGAGGGGGUAGAAUUUCAGGUGUAGCGGUGAAAUGCGUAGAGAUCUGAAGGAACACCAGUGGCGAAGGCGACUUUCUGGACUGUAACUGACGCUGAGGCACGAAAGCGUGGGGAGCGAACAGGAUUAGAUACCCUGGUAG
rnacentral:rRNA from 1 species